GCCCUAGUAGCUUAAAGAUAAAGCGCUGGUCUUGUAAUCCAGAAAUUGGAGGAUAAAGCCCUCCCUAGUGCC